rnacentral:rRNA from 1 species
GACGAACGCUGGCGGCGUGCUUAACACAUGCAAGUCGAACGGAACGGCCCUGCUUGCAGGGUCCUCGAGUGGCGAACGGGUGAGUAACACGUGUGUGAUCUGCCCUGCACUUCGGGAUAAGCCUGGGAAACUGGGUCUAAUACCGGAUAGGAGCCAUAUUUCGUGUGAUGGUUGGAAAGUUUUUUCGGUGUAGGAUGAGCAUGCGGCCUAUCCGCUUGUUGGUGGGGUAAGGGCCUACCAAGGCGGCGACGGGUAGCCGGCCUGGGAGGGUGGACAGCCACAGUGGGACUGAGACUCAGCCCAGACUCCGACGGGAGGGAGCAGUGGGGGAUGGUGCACAAUGGGCGCGAGCCUGAUGCAGCGACGCCGCGGGGGGGAUGACGGCGUUCGGGUUGUAAACUCCUUUCGCUAGGGACGAAGCUGUUUGUGACGGUACCUAGAUAAGAAGCACCGGCUAACUACGUG